AGCGAACGCUGGCGGCAGGCCUAACACAUGCAAGUCGAACGGAUCCUUCGGGAUUAGUGGCGGACGGGUGAGUAACACGUGGGAACGUGCCUUUUGGUUCGGAACAACUCAGGGAAACUUGAGCUAAUACCGAAUGUGCCCUUCGGGGGAAAGGAUUUAUCGCCAUUAGAGCGGCCCGCGUCUGAUUAGCUUGUUGGUGAGGUAAAGGCUCACCAAGGCUACGAUCAGUAGCUGGUCNGAGAGGAUGAUCAGCCACACUGGGACUGAGACACGGCCCAGACUCCUACGGGAGGCAGCAGUGGGGAAUCUUGCGCAAUGGGCGAAAGCCUGACGCAGCCAUGCCGCGUGAAUGAUGAAGGUCUUAGGAUUGUAAAAUUCUUUCACCGGGGACGAUAAUGACGGUACCCGGAGAAGAAGCUCCGGCUAACUUCGUGCCAGCCGCC
rnacentral:rRNA from 1 species